GAUUAACGCUGGCGGCGUGCAUAAUACAUGCAAGUCGAACGAUGAAACUUAGUACACUUCUUAGGUAAGACACUAAGCGGCUUAGUGGCGAACGGGUGAGUAACUCGUGUGUAACCUGCCUUACACAAGGGGAUAGCCUUUGGAUACGAAGAAUAAUACCCUAUAAAACUAUAAAAGCACAUGCUAUAAUGGUCAAAGUGAUAGCGGUGUAAGAUGGACUUGAGUCUGAUUAGCUAGUUGAUGAGAUAAAAGCUCACCAAGGCAACGAUCAGUAGCCGGCUUGAGAGAGUGUACGGCCACAUUGGGACUGAGACACGGCCCAGACUCCGACGAGAGGCAGCAGUGGGGAAGUUUGCACAAUGGGGGAAAACCUGAUGCAGCGACGCCGCGUGAUUUAGAAGGCCUUCGGGUUGUAAAAAUCUUUUGUAUAGGAAGAAAAUGACAGUACUAUACGAAUAAGGGCCGGCUAAUUACGUG
rnacentral:rRNA from 1 species